AUUGAACGCUGGCGGCAGGCCUAACACAUGCAAGUCGAGCGGAUGAAGGGAGCUUGCUCCUGGAUUCAGCGGCGGACGGGUGAGUAAUGCCUAGGAAUCUGCCUGGUAGUGGGGGAUAACGUCCGGAAACGGGCGCUAAUACCGCAUACGUCCUGAGGGAGAAAGUGGGGGAUCUUCGGACCUCACGCUAUCAGAUGAGCCUAGGUCGGAUUAGCUAGUUGGUGGGGUAAAGGCCUACCAAGGCGACGAUCCGUAACUGGCCUGAGAGGAUGAUCAGUCACACUGGAACUGAGACACGGUCCAGACUCCUACGGGAGGCAGCAGUGGGGAAUAUUGGACAAUGGGCGAAAGCCUGAUCCAGCCAUGCCGCGUGUGUGAAGAAGGUCUUCGGAUUGUAAAGCACUUUAAGUUGGGAGGAAGGGCAGUAAGUUAACACCUUGCUGUUUUGACGUUACCAACAGAAUAAGCACCGGCUAACUUCGUG
rnacentral:rRNA from 1 species